AACGAACGCUGGCGGCAUGCUUAACACAUGCAAGUCGAGCGAGAACCAGAAAGCUUGCUUUCUGGGGACAGCGGCGCACGGGUGAGUAACGCGUGGAUAACGUGCCUUGGGGUUGGGAAUAACUUACCGAAAGGUGAGCUAAUACCGAAUAUCUUCAUCGAAAGUUUGCUUUUGAUGAAUAAAGCGACUUGUCGCGCCCUAAGAUCGGUCCGCGUCCCAUCAGCUUGUUGGUAAGGUAAUGGCUUACCAAGGCGACGACGGGUAGCUGGUCUGAGAGGAUGAUCAGCCACACUGGGACUGAGACACGGCCCAG
rnacentral:rRNA from 1 species